rnacentral:tRNA from 1 species
GGGAAGAUAGCUCAGUGGCAGAACAUUUGCCUAGCAUGCACAAGGCUCUGGGUUCAGUCCCCAGUAUGACCA